rnacentral:ribozyme from 1 species
CCGAGGUUGAACCCCAAGCAUCAUAAAAUCAACAGAGUAAAAAAAUGAAACUAAUAGAAGAAGCAAGAAAAAAACUGGAUGACUGGGGAAAAAGAGAGCCUUGUGAGCCUGAUCAAGAUGAUUGCUGCGGAACUGGAUGCUCUCCAUGUGUUUUUGACACUUAUUAUGAUCAGUUGGAGAGAUACUAGCAGAGGAAGCAAGACCUGGAGUCCAAGCUCAUUGAAUACGAAGAAAUGGAAGAAGAAG